UUAUUUAAUUUAUUAUUUUUUUUCUUUGUUUUUAUUUUUUAUUUAAUAUAAAUAAUUUUAUUGGUUCAUGUGUUUUAGUAUAUUUUAUAGAAUUAAUUAUUAUUAUUAUAGUUUAUUUUUAAUGUAAAUGGUUUAUGAAAUAUUUAUUUAAAUUAUAAAAAGUAGAUUUUAUUUAUUGUACCUUUUGUAUCAGGGUUAAUCAAAAUUAUAAUAUUUAUUUAUUAUUCUCAAUUUAGGUUGAUUUAUAAAUAAAUUAUAUUUAAUGUAUUAAAAUUAUUAUUAAUUUAUUUAUAGAAAUGAAAUGUUAAUCGUUUCCUAAGUUAUUUAGUUUCUUAAGAAAAAAUUAAAUUUUUUAUAGUUUAUAGUUAAAUUUAAUUUUUUAAUUUAUAAUAUAAACUUAUUAAUUCUUUAGGGGAUAAGCUCUAAAGCUUUAUAUUCUAUAAUUUAUUUAAUUUAAGAUAAAAAAAUAAGCUUUAAACCAGCUAUUUUUAAGAUUUCGUUUUAGUUUAUUAUUUUUUAUUUAGAUUUUAUAAUAAUUUUAGAUUUUUUAUUAAGAUGAAAAAUUUAAUCAUUAAUUUUUUGUAAUAAUGAUUAAAUUAGUAUAUUAAUUUUGUUUACAUUAUUUUCUUUUAUUAAUUUAUUAUAAGGAAUUAGGCAAAAUUGAUUUUCGCCUGUUUAUCAAAAACAUGUCCUUUUGAUUAUAUUUUAAGGUCUAGCCUGCUCACUGAUAAAUUUAAAUAGCCGCGGUAUUUUGACCGUGCAAAGGUAGCAUAAUCAUUAGUUUCUUAAUUAGGAGCUGGAAUGAAUGGCUUGACGAAAAAUCAACUGUCUCUUAAUAAAUUUUAAAAUUUAACUUUUAAGUUAAAAGGCUUAAAUUUUUCUUUAGGACGAGAAGACCCUAUAGAGCUUGACAUUUUAUUUAUAUAUAGUUUUUAGAUAUUCUUUCUUUAUUUAAUGUUAAUGUUUUGUUGGGGUGACAUGAAGAAUAGAUAAACUUUUCAUUAUUAAUUCAUUAAUUUAUGUUUAUUUUGAUCCAUAAUUUAUGAUUAUAAGAUUAAGUUACCUUAGGGAUAACAGCGUAAUUGUUUUCGAGAGCUCAUAUUGACAAAGCAGAUUGCGACCUCGAUGUUGGAUUAAGAAAAAUUUUGGGUGCAGUAACCCAUUAAUUAGGUCUGUUCGACCUUUAAAUUCUUACAUGAUCUGAGUUCAGACCGGCGUAAGCCAGGUUGGUUUCUAUCCUAAGAUUUAGUAGUAUUCAUAUUAGUACGAAAGGACCACAUGAAUGAAAUAUUUUUUAUUAAUUGACUAAAAACUAAUUUUU
rnacentral:rRNA from 1 species